AGUGAACGCUGGCGGUAGGCCUAACACAUGCAAGUCGAACGGCAGCACAGUAAGAGCUUGCUCUUACGGGUGGCGAGUGGCGGACGGGUGAGGAAUACAUCGGAAUCUACUUUUUCGUGGGGGAUACGUAGGGAAACUUACGCUAAUACCGCACACGACCUACGGGUGAAAGCAGGGGAUCUUCGGGCCUUGCGCGAUUGAAUGAGCCGAUGUCGGAUUAGCUAGUUGGCGGGGUAAAGGCCCACCAAGGCGACGAUCCGUAGCUGGUCUGAGAGGAUGAUCAGCCACACUGGAACUGAGACACGGUCCAGACUCCUACGGGAGGCAGCAGUGGGGAAUAUUGGACAAUGGGCGCAAGCCUGAUCCAGCCAUACCGCGUGAGUGAAGAAGGCCUUCGGGUUGUAAAGCCCUUUUGUUGGGAAAGAAAAGCAGCAGGUUAAUACCCCGCUGUUCUGACGGUACCCAAAGAAUAAGCACCGGCUAACUUCGUG
rnacentral:rRNA from 1 species